rnacentral:rRNA from 1 species
CCUACGGGUGGCAGCAGUGAGGAAUAUUGGUCCAUGGGCGCGCGCCUGAACCAGCCAAGUAGCGUGAAGGAUGACUGCCCUACGGGUUGUAAACUUCUUUUAUAAAGGAAUAAAGUGAGGCACGUGUGCCUUUUUGUAUGUACUUUAUGAAUAAGGAUCGGCUAACUCCGUGCCAGCAGCCGCGGUAAUACGGAGGAUCCGAGCGUUAUCCGGAUUUAUUGGGUUUAAAGGGAGCGUAGAUGGGUUGUUAAGUCAGUUGUGAAAGUUUGCUGCUCAACCGUAAAAUUGGAAUUGAUACUGGCAGGCUUGAGUACAGUUGAGGUAGGCGGAAUUCGGGGUGUAGCGGUGAAAUGCGUAGAUAUCACGAAGAACUCCGAUUGCGAAGGCAGCUUACUAAACUGCCACUGACAUUGAUGCUCGAAAGUGUGGGUAUCAAACAGGAUUAGAUACCCUGGUAGU